rnacentral:RNase_P_RNA from 1 species
CGAGUUAGCCAGGCAAUCGCUGCUGUUUGACAGGAGAGGAAAGUCCGGGCUCCUCGAGGCAAGGUGCCAGGUAAUCCCUGGGGGGCGUGAGCCUACGGAAAGUGCAGCAGAGAGCAGACCGCCGACACUGUCGGUAAGGGUGAAAGGGUGCGGUAAGAGCGCACCGCAUCAGUGGUAACACGUGAUGGCAAGGUAAACCCCACCUGGAGCAAGACCAAAUAGGAAUCCGUUCGGCGUGCCUCGCGUUGGAUUCGGGUAGGU